AACGAACGCUGGCGGCAGGCUUAACACAUGCAAGUCGAACGAGUGUAGCAAUACACUAGUGGCGCACGGGUGCGUAACGCGUGGGAACCUUCCUCGUAGUUCGGAAUAACUCAGGGAAACUUGGGCUAAUACCGAAUGCCUCCUUCGGGAGAAAGAUUUAUCGCUACGAGAUGGGCCCGCGUCAGAUUAGGUAGUUGGUAGGGUAAUGGCCUACCAAGCCGACGAUCUGUAGCUGGCUGAGAGGAUGAUCAGCCACACUGGGACUGAGACACGGCCCAGACUCCUACGGGAGGCAGCAGUGGGAAUAUUGGACAAUGGGGCAACCCUGAUCCAGCCAUGCCGCGUGAGUGAAGAAGGCCUUCGGUUGUAAG
rnacentral:rRNA from 1 species